CUACGGGACGCACCAGUGGGGAAUAUUGCACAAUGGGCGCAAGCCUGAUGCAGCAACGCCGCGUGAGGGAUGAAGGCCUUCGGGUUGUAAACCUCUUUUAGCAGGGAAGAAGCGAAAGUGACGGUACCUGCAGAAAAAGCACCGGCUAACUACGUGCCAGCAGCCGAGGGUAAUACGUAGGGUGCAAGCGUUGUCCGGAAUUAUUGGGCGUAAAGAGCUCGUAGGCGGUUUGUCACGUCUGCUGUGAAAAUCCAAGGCUCAACCUUGGACUUGCAGUGGGUACGGGCAGGCUAGAGUGCGGUAGGGGAGAUGGGAAUUCCUGGUGUAGCGGUGGAAUGCGCAGAUAUCAGGAGGAACACCAAUGGCGAAGGCACAUCUCUGGGCCGUAACUGACGCUGAGGAGCGAAAGCGUGGGGAGCGAACAGGAUUAGAUACCCCAGUAGUC
rnacentral:rRNA from 1 species